rnacentral:rRNA from 1 species
CGGGACACGUGGUAUCCUGUCUGAAUAUGGGGGGACCAUCCUCCAAGGCUAAAUACUCCUGACUGACCGAUAGUGAACCAGUACCGUGAGGGAAAGGCGAAAAGAACCCCGGCGAGGGGAGUGAAAAAGAACCUGAAACCGUGUACGUACAAGCAGUGGGAGCACGCUUAGGCGUGUGACUGCGUACCUUUUGUAUAAUGGGUCAGCGACUUAUAUUCUGUAGCAAGGUUAACCGAAUAGGGGAGCCGAAGGGAAACCGAGUCUUAACUGGGCGUUAAGUUGCAGGGUAUAGACCCGAAACCCGGUGAUCUAGCCAUGGGCAGGUUGAAGGUUGGGUAACACUAACUGGAGGACCGAACCGACUAAUGUUGAAAAAUUAGCGGAUGACUUGUGGCUGGGGGUGAAAGGCCAAUCAAACCGGGAGAUAGCUGGUUCUCCCCGAAAGCUAUUUAGGUAGCGCCUCGUGAAUUCAUCUCCGGGGGUAGAGCACUGUUUCGGCAAGGGGGUCAUCCCGACUUACCAACCCGAUGCAAACUGCGAAUACCGGAGAAUGUUAUCACGGGAGACACACGGCGGGUGCUAACGUCCGUCGUGAAGAGGGAAACAACCCAGACCGCCAGCUAAGGUCCCAAAGUCAUGGUUAAGUGGGAAACGAUGUGGGAAGGCCCAGACAGCCAGGAUGUUGGCUUAGAAGCAGCCAUCAUUUAAAGAAAGCGUAAUAGCUCACUGGUCGAGUCGGCCUGCGCGGAAGAUGUAACGGGGCUAAACCAUGCACCGAAGCUGCGGCAGCGACACUAUGUGUUGUUGGGUAGGGGAGCGUUCUGUAAGCCUGUGAAGGUGUACUGUGAGGUAUGCUGGAGGUAUCAGAAGUGCGAAUGCUGACAUAAGUAACGAUAAAGCGGGUGAAAAGCCCGCUCGCCGGAAGACCAAGGGUUCCUGUCCAACGUUAAUCGGGGCAGGGUGAGUCGACCCCUAAGGCGAGGCCGAAAGGCGUAGUCGAUGGGAAACAGGUUAAUAUUCCUGUACUUGGUGUUACUGCGAAGGGGGGACGGAGAAGGCUAUGUUGGCCGGGCGACGGUUGUCCCGGUUUAAGCGUGUAGGCUGGUUUUCCAGGCAAAUCCGGAAAAU